CAGUUUAACCUCAGCUUUAAUGAGGAUAGAGCUUUCUUCUGUGCAGUGGCCAACUGUGGAAAAAUGAACACUGAAAAGAAAACAGUUUUGAACACAGAAAAAGCUGUGGAUCCUGUUGUUUAUGGUUUGGCUGCUGUGUCGGGACUGUGUAUUUUGGUCAUAUGUUUCUUGGUCAUUUUAAUUUACCAAGACAGGAAACACAAACAUGACAAAGAAGUGAAGUUUCAGCAAGUUCACACAGACAGGUCCAACAGAGAUCCAUCAAGUGGGCAGG